GCCUUCAGCACAGAGCUCCUAGGAAAUGGGAGGGGGAUUAAUUUAAUGAGAGCUGAAAAACAGACACCCUAUAAGGGAAAGUUGAGGGUUUAUUUUCCAUGCCAAUAGCCAUCCAAGGAGAAGACACUCAAAAAUCUAGUUGUGGUGGAAGUAACUCUUGAGGAUUGCUGCAUCUUUGCAGAUUUUGAAAUAAAAUGCAGGUCUGAUUAUGGGUUAGAGGUUGGAUGUAAUGGACAUUAUGUUGGUCAUUGGAUGGAGGCUUGGCAGUUCAGUGGAUUGGAGUUCAGUGAAUAGUUAUGCUUAGUUAUUGGAUGUGUGAUCCUUGGUCCUGUGUUGGGCUAAGUUCCUAUGGCCCCUUGAAAGAUACAUGGGCAGGAGAUAGAGGAGGGCAGCUAUGUAACAGAAAGACGGGAAUAUGUAUUUCCCACGAGCAUGCUAAUCUGCAGAGCCUAUGACCAAGAUGAAUUAAAAAAUACAAAUUUCUGCAGCACUGUCUUCUCAUUUCUUAGCUGUUGCUCAGGCAAAGCUAUUAUUAAUUCAGGAGGAGUCUGCCUGAGCAAAAACUCUGGAGUCCAAAAUAUUUUGCGAAGAGUAAAUACAGGAAUUAUUCACCUACCACAGAACGGCAUCAGCCCCUGGGUGGAAUGAAGGAGCUGUUUAACAGUGCACAGAAAUAUUUCCCCCAAGUUUUGGACAGGAGUUGACAGUUUCUGAAUGCCCAAUUGAAGCUACAACUGAAAGAAACUAGCAGUACAGGCCCCCUCCCUUACCUUGGUCCAGGAUAGAAGGAAGAGCACCACCCACCCAAGUACCACGCUACUUCCUCUAGGACACGAAGAGAUUUUUGUGGAGCUCACACAUCUGCCCCUCACAGUCCUCUGCAUGAGAUCUGGCAAGUUAAUUGCUCCAAGUGUCUGGGGAGCAGCACCAGAAGCAUCUGUUUGGUGAGGUUCCCUGAGCUGGAAUUUUACUAGGACAUUCCCCGUUCCGUGGGCACAUCCCCACAGCGGAGAUGGACUGCUCAGGAUGACCACAGGUCCAGCUCUGCUCUAUGAAAGUGACUGAGUGAAGUCCAUCCAUCACUCAUCUCCGAGUGCCCAGACAUCCUUGGGAGGAGACGUGUCCAGGGUCCAGUGGUUUAAGUGCUUGGCUGAACUGGGGCCAAGGUCCAGCGCGGAGCCUCCCGCUCCCGCCGACUCCUGCUUUGGCGCCGCACCGUGGAGUCAGCCCUGGGCUCGCACUGGAGGACGUUACGAAAUCCUGGCCCUGACAGAGAGCAGAUGCAUUAUUGGGAAGCCCUCGGGUCAUGAGAGGGCUAAUAGUCACAUUCCUGGCUGGGAUGGCGAAAGAGAAAGAUUUACACCGGGCGUUCGCUGGCCUCGCCUCGCCCUCCACCGGGCCAGCUCCCUACUUCACCGGCCCCCUUGGCUUUAAUUGUUGUGUUAAUGGCUCUUUUAUUUGAAGCAGAUCCCCUGGCUUACAGAGGAGAAUGACAUUAUGUCGUAUUUUAGAUGUAUUUACAUUCUGCUUGCCACAGGGAUAACGUUCUAAUUAUUUUCUAUAACCGACAGCACCAGCGUCUCUGGUAUUAGGGACCCCUUAGACCUGAUUACAUGGUCUGGUUUUCAUCAAAUCACCCACAAAUGACAGCGUUUAUUGUCAAUUGAUGUACCUUUGCGUAGCACAACUCGCUCCCGAAACAAAUGUCCUGAAAAUAUAAUCCAUGUUUAGAGCGUGCGUCUUCACUUGCGUGGAGGCAGAUGGGCUCAGGAGGUCAAACCCGACCUCUCCUGACUCUGCCACACAGCCUGGGCACAGGAGGCAGCUCAGUGUCAUGUGGCAUUUCCCAUGCAAUCUGUACUCAAAGGCUGUGGAAAAGGACGCUGUCAGCUUUGCAGCUACUGUGUCAAAUGGUGAACAGCAGCAUCGGGAGAGGAUGGUGGGGCAGGAGAGAGAGGGGAGAAGCAAAGGGUGUUGGCUUAGUUUUGCAAUGAGGUGUAGAGGGGUACCUCUACAGGGGUACCCCUCUACACCUCUGUAGAGUCUGGUCCAGGUGGGAUUUUGCCUGUGUGAGAAUUGAUUUUAGGGGAGAAGAGUGGCCAGACAACAACAGAGAGAGCUGUGCAGCAGGCUUGAUGGGCAGGGAGGGAGAGAAGGCACUGGCAGGUGUGUGGGGCUGGUGGACGGAGGCUGGGAACUGCACUGAGAAAAGAAUUGCAAUGGAAGAUGAGACAGAAGAAACCUCAGAGCUCGAUGAUAGGAGGUGGGAUGAAGACCACUGCACAGCUGGAGACAAGUGCAGUAGAGACUUCAGAGCAAAGGGUGAUGCCCAGGGGUUGGGAGACCAUGGAAGUAGGGACAGCAAUUGAGAUAAGAAGAGUGAGAGGCACAGUUAUUACACAGUUAUUGAUUUAUCCUGAGUCAUUUACUCACCAAAUUUUCCCUUGAGAUCCUAAACAGACUGAAGCUGUUUCAAAUGUUGUCAUUAUUUAGAACAGUUCAACAAAAUGUUUGUUGCUUUAAGAAAAAAGGAGACAUGAGGGACUGAGAAAAAAAAAAAAAAAAAAAAAAAAAAAAAAAAAAAAAAAAAAAAGGGAAAAAAAAAAGCCUGGAUGGCCUGGUUUUCCACAUUUGAAUUUUAUUGCUGAAUUGGAAUGGGUCAAGAAAAAUCACUCCUUCUGUUUUCUGAGUGAGAAUUUUACUUACAAAGCUGCUCUGAUGUGGAUGCUUACCCAAGCUCAGAUGCAGUCUUCCUGUGUAUUCUAACAUGAAAUGACAAAAAGCAAAUAUUUGUGCUAGUGAAACCGUGUCGAAGAAAUUUUUCUGCACCAGGAAACAUUCUCCAUCACAACAUGGAGACAACUUCAUUACAAAAUUCAGGCACGUCUUCAUGGAGACUUUUCUCCUUGCAGCUCUGGAGAUUAUUUUAUAUUUGGAGCUGCUGGGCACAUAGGGCAUUUUAAAAGUAAAUAGAAAGGCAAAGACACUGUCCCAAGGGAGUUCAAAUUUAAGCCAGACCAAAUCAGAGUGAAAAUGCUGGCUGCAUUGUAUCAAAAACCAGAAAGUGGAUACUUCUUGGAAAGCCAUGGAUUCCAUUAAGUAAUUUAGUUUUUCUUGUGUGCAUGCAUGUCUUCUACAGUAACUUUUACUCUUGGCUUAAAAGAAAUAUGUUUCACUCCUUCCCUCAGUAACACUGGAGCCUAUGUGCAAGGUUCAGUGAAAGAUGGCAGGAGGCUAGAGGUCUCAAAAAUACUGUGUUCCUGUUUUGUGAAAAUAAAAUACUAGGAGGAGAAGAGGCAACCAAGCCAUUAUUUCAACUGAAAGAAAAGCUUUUGCACAUGCAGAAGCGGUAUAAUUAGCAUUAAAAGGUAUGAGAAAGAGGAAAAGAAGGGUAAGGUAUUGUCUUGCAGGCAUUGGAGAUGUUUCUGUCACAAGACCUACAUGAGAUUUGUACAUUUUAGGACACAGGAUAAUUCAACCAUGAGAAUGUAGAUUUCAGGAAAACUGGGUCAUUAUUUCCACCUCCCUGGAAAUUACCUGUUUGUUUUGAAUUCACUUGUAUAAUUGGAUGGUGUUGCGGUGCCACUAGAGACCACAGUCUCUCUGCCUGCCAGACUAGCUCAGGCACCGGCGGCAGUUGUCUAAGGAUCAGCCAGCGAGAUGCACAGGCUGGGCUGAUUCCUGUGGGUCCUUGGCUCCUGAGAGCUCGAGUGGCUGAUGUACGUGCACUGACCACAAUGGAGGAAUGACAGGAGGAGCCAGCUGAGGGAUCCAACGGGGAAUUUAUUGAGGAGUAGGACACAACCUCCUCACCACCUGCAGGACAGCCUCAGCUAGCCGAAGAGGCUACUGUGACACAGUGUUUUAUACCCAGGUGGUGAGGGGAGUGGUGAGGCUGUAACAACCAAUAAGCUCAAACUCAGGGGGUGGUACAACAGUGAGGUAACUUUCCAUAAACCAAUCAGGAAUAGGUAGGUGGGGUUUACAUGGACAGAGGGGGAAGAGUGACAGAUAACCGCCACUGGCAGUUAUAUAACUUAGGACGAACCAUAAGAAAAUGGGUACAUGGAACAAACCGUUACAAUCAACUUAAUAAACUUAACAGUCAUAAUUUUGCACCACCACAGGUGGGUGGCAGUCUGGAGAUGCUUCUUGUGGCUUAAAGAACCGUGAAUGAGCACACUAUCUCCUGCCCCUCUUGGAGAACAUUUUGGGGGUGGAAGUGCUGAUGAUUCAUCAUCCAACUGGCCAGAUUGAAAACAGCAGCUAGAGAGAGGAUUUUCUUACUGCUGUUUUUAUGUUGAGUCGAGUAACAGAACUGAGUACCUGUUGCAUGAUUUGGUCAAUGUGAUCAAUGUGUUGGUCUUGGUAUGGGAGGAGGAAUGAAAAAAUGUGCAUCUGGUUUUGUCAUUUUUGUCAUUUCACUUGAGAAUAUUCAAAUAUGUGCGUCCCGUGCAGAUUUGCUCUGUGAAUGUCUGAGCUGUACUGAGGUGAAUGUUACUGGAAAGCGAAGGUUUAAUUAGCUCUGCUGUUUCAAUGCAUUCUUAAAGUGCAUUUCAAAUGAUAUGCUUCAUUGUGAAAUCAGUCAUCAAUGCUGUGUUUGAUGGUUACAGAAACUGUGUGGUUUUAUCUCUUUUCCUGAGAAGCCCCUGGUAAGAUGACUUAAUUUUCAGAACAUGGCACAAAAGAAUAAAUUGCAAGUACCCUGUGAAUUAUUAAAGGAGAAUAUUAUGAAUAAUUUCAAAGAGGAAAUGCAUGCUAGAAUUUUUUGUCAUGUUGGCUAUUUGUCCAGUAGCUGAAAGGAAAAGAAAGGAUAAAUCGAUUAGUUCUGAUUGUUUAUUAAAAGGCUUUUGCUUUUGGGUAGUUGCACUUGGCAAACUAAAUGUUUGUGUGAACAUCAUACCAGAGAUUUGGGAGUUUGGUUUAUUUUCUGAAAUAAAAAUUAUUGG